rnacentral:rRNA from 1 species
UGGGGAAUAUUGCACAAUGGGCGCAAGCCUGAUGCAGCCAUGCCGCGUGUGUGAAGAAGGCCUUCGGGUUGUAAAGCACUUUCAGCGGGGAGGAAGGCGAUAAGGUUAAUAACCUCAUCGAUUGACGUUACCCGCAGAAGAAGCACCGGCUAACUCCGUGCCAGCAGCCGCGGUAAUACGGAGGGUGCAAGCGUUAAUCGGAAUUACUGGGCGUAAAGCGCACGCAGGCGGUCUGUCAAGUCGGAUGUGAAAUCCCCGGGCUCAACCUGGGAACUGCAUUCGAAACUGGCAGGCUAGAGUCUUGUAGAGGGGGGUAGAAUUCCAUGUGUAGCGGUGAAAUGCGUAGGGAUGUGGAGGAAUACCGGUGGCGAAGGCGGCCCCCUGGACAAAGACUGACGCUCAGGUGCGAAAGCGUGGGGAGCAAACAGG